rnacentral:rRNA from 1 species
CCACACAGGUCGUCAGGUAGAGAAUACCAAGGCGCUUGAGAGAACUCGGGUGAAGGACCUAGGCAAAAUGGUGCCCUAACGUCGGGAGAAGGCACGCUGACACGGAGGUGAAGUGAUUUACUCAUGGAGCUGAAGUCAGUCGAAGAUACCAGCUGGCUGCAACUUUUUAUUAAAAACACAGCACUGUGCACACACGAAAGUGGACGUAGACGGUGUGACGCCUGCCCGGUGCCGGAAGGUUAAUUGAUGGGGUCAGCGUAAGCGAAGCUCCUGAUCGAAGCCCCGGUAAACGGCGGCCGUAACUAUACCGG